rnacentral:rRNA from 1 species
CAGGGAUUGCCCUAGUAACGGCGAGUGAAGCGGCAACAGCUCAAAUUUGAAAUCUGGCGUCUUUGGCGUCCGAGUUGUAAUUUGCAGAGGGCGCUUUGGCAUUGGCAGCGGUCCAAGUUCCUUGGAACAGGACGUCACAGAGGGUGAGAAUCCCGUACGUGGUCGCUAGCCUUUACCGUGUAAAGCCCCUUCGACGAGUCGAGUUGUUUGGGAAUGCAGCUCUAAAUGGGAGGUAAAUUUCUUCUAAAGCUAAAUACUGGCCAGAGACCGAUAGCGCACAAGUAGAGUGAUCGAAAGAUGAAAAGCACUUUGGAAAGAGAGUUAAAAAGCACGUGAAAUUGUUGAAAGGGAAGCGCUUGCAGCCAGACUUGCCUGUAGUUGCUCAUCCGGGUUUUUACCCGGUGCACUCUUCUAUAGGCAGGCCAGCAUCAGUUUGGGCGGUUGGAUAAAGGUCUCUGUCACGUACCUCCUCUCGGGGAGAACUUAUAGGGGAGACGUAAUGCAACCAGCCUGGACUGAGGUCCGCGCAUCUGCUAGGAUGCUGGCGUAAUGGCUGUAAGCGGCCCGUCUUGAAACACGGACCAAGGAGUCUAACAUCUAUGCGAGUGUUUGGGUGUCAAGCCCGAGCGCGUAAUGAAAGUGAACGGAGGUGGGAACCUUUCGGGGUGCACCAUCGACCGAUCCUGAUGUCUUCGGAUGGAUUUGAGUAAGAGCAUAGCUGUUGGGACCCGAAAGAUGGUGAACUAUGCUUGAAUAGGGUGAAGCCAGAGGAAACUCUGGUGGAGGCUCGCAGCGGUUCUGACGUGCAAAUCGAUCGUCAAAUUUGGGCAUAGGGGCGAAAGACUAAUCGAACUAUCUAGUAGCUGGUUCCUGCCGAAGUUUCCCUCAGGAUAGCAGUAACGUUUUCAGUUUUAUGAGGUAAAGCGAAUGAUUAGAGGCCUGGGGGUUGAAACAACCUU